GCUGUUUUAAAUCAGGCACUUUUCAGUUUUUUCUCUCCUACCAAGGGCUUUUACCUUCCUGAGCAUUUCCAGAUGGAGGCUUCUGUGAGUGACAAACAUCCCCUGCCCCCUUCACCCCCAGCACUCUUUCCUUGCGUUCCUUCUCUUUCAAACAACUAGAAUUGGUCUGCCACAGACCACUUUGAACAUUACAGCAUUACCAACUUCCCUUUGUAUUAAUUUUUCCAGUGUGAGGAGGGAGAGGACCCAAAUAAUCACAGCGUCAUGAGCUGACUAUCAAUUCCAGGAAAGAUUCUAGCUUGGAGAAGAGAAGAUUGAACAGGUACAUGUUUAAAUAUUUGAAAAAAUGACAUACUGAGGAGUGGGCAAGCUCAUUUUCUGUUGAUCCAGA
rnacentral:lncRNA from 11 species